CGUAGGUAAUCUGCCUGUUGGUGGGGGACAACCCGGGGAAACUCGGGCUAAUACCGCAUAAGUUGGUAACAAGAAAGGUGGCCUCUGCUUGCAAGCUACCGCCGAUAGAGGAGCCUGCGUCCCAUUAGCUAGAUGGCAGGGUAAUGGCCUACCAUGGCGAUGAUGGGUAGCUGGUCUGAGAGGAUGAUCAGCCACACUGGAACUGAGACACGGUCCAGACUCCUACGGGAGGCAGCAGUAGGGAAUAUUGCGCAAUGGGGGAAACCCUGACGCAGCGAUGCCGCAUGAGUGAGGAAGGCCUUCGGGUUGUAAAACUCUGUCAGAGGGGAAAAAUGACGUAGGGGCUAAUCAGCCUACGUUUGAUGGUACCCUCAAAGGAAGCACCGGCUAACUUCGUGCCAGCAGCCGCGGUAAUACGAAGGGUGCAAGCGUUGUUCGGAUUUAUUGGGCGUAAAGCGCGCGCAGGCGGGUUUGCAAGUCAGGUGUGAAAGCUCGGGGCUUAACCCCGAAAAUGCGCCUGAAACUACUUAUCUAGAAUAUCGGUGGGGGAUGGGGAAUUUCGCAUGUAGGGGUAAAAUCCGUAGAUAUGCGAAAGGAACACCAGAGGCGAAAGCGCCAUCCUGCACGAUUAUUGACGCUGAGGCGCGAGAGCAUGGGGAGCAAACAGGAUUAGAUACCCUGGUAGUCCAUGCUGUAAACGAUGAGCACUAGAUGUGGUGGGUAUUGACCCCUACCGCGUCGUAGCUAACGCAUUAAGUGCUCCGCCUGGGAAGUACGGUCGCAAGAUUAAAACUCAAAGGAAUUGACGGGGGCCCGCACAAGCGGUGGAUUAUGUGGUUUAAUUCGAAGCAACGCGAAGAACCUUACCUGGGCUUGAACUCCCACGAAUCCCCUAGAGAUAGGGGAGUGCUCCUUGGAGAAUGUGGUGAGAGGCGCUGCAUGGCUGUCGUCAGCUCGUGUUGUGAAAUGUUGGGUUAAGUCUCGCAACGAGCGCAACCCCCGUCCUUAGUUGCCAGCAUUAAGUUGGGCACUCUAAGGAGACUGCCGGGGUUAACCCGGAGGAAGGUGGGGAUGACGUCAAGUCCUCAUGGCCCUUAUGUCCAGGGCUACACACGUAAUACAAUGGCCAGUAUAAAGGGACGCCAACCCGCGAGGGGGAGCUAACCUCAAAAAGCUGGUCUCAGUCCGGAUUGAAGUCUGCAACUCGACUUCAUGAAGUUGGAAUCGCUAGUAAUCGCGGAUCAGCACGCCGCG
rnacentral:rRNA from 1 species